GACGAACGCUGGCGGCGUGCUUAACACAUGCAAGUCGAACGGAAAGGCCCUGCUUUUGUGGGGUGCUCGAGUGGCGAACGGGUGAGUAACACGUGAGUAACCUGCCCUUGACUUUGGGAUAACUUCAGGAAACUUGGGCUAAUACCGGAUAGGAGCUCCUGCUGCAUGGUGGGGGUUGGAAAGUUUCGGCGGUUGGGGAUGGACUCGCGGCUUAUCAGCUUGUUGGUGGGGUAGUGGCUUACCAAGGCUUUGACGGGUAGCCGGCCUGAGAGGGUGACCGGCCACAUUGGGACUGAGAUACGGCACAGACUCCUACGGGAGGCAGCAGUGGGGAAUAUUGCACAAUGGGCGGAAGCCUGAUGCAGCAACGCCGCGUGCGGGAUGACGGCAUUCGGGUUGUAAACCGCUUUCGCCUGUGACGAAGCGUGAGUGACGGUAAUGGGUAAAGAAGCACCGGCCAACUACGUG
rnacentral:rRNA from 1 species